rnacentral:rRNA from 1 species
CAUGCAAGUCGAGGGGCAGCAGGGGUGUAGCAAUACACUCGCUGGCGACCGGCAAACGGGUGCGGAACACGUACGCAAUCUACCCAUAACUGGGGAAUAGCCCGGGGAAACCCGGAUUAAUACCUCGUAACCUUCUGAAGUGGCAUCACUUUAUUAGUAUAGCUCCGGCGGUUAUGGAUGAGCGUGCGGCUGAUUAGGUAGUUGGCGGGGUAACGGCCCACCAAGCCUACGAUCAGUAACUGGUGUGAGAGCACGACCAGUCACACGGGCACUGAGACACGGGCCCGACUCCUACGGGAGGCAGCAGUAAGGAAUAUUGGUCAAUGGACGCAAGUCUGAACCAGCCAUGCCGCGUGGAGGAUGAAGGCCCUCUGGGUUGUAAACUUCUUUUAUCUGGGAAGAAAUCCCCGCAUUCCUGCGGGGUUGACGGUACCAGAGGAAUAAGCACCGGCUAACUCCGUGCCAGCAGCCGCGGUAAUACGGAGGGUGCAAGCGUUAUCCGGAUUCACUGGGUUUAAAGGGUGCGUAGGCGGGCAGGUAAGUCAGUGGUGAAAUCUCCAAGCUUAACUUGGAAACUGCCGUUGAUACUAUCUGUCUUGAAUAUUGUGGAGGUGAGCGGAAUAUGUCAUGUAGCGGUGAAAUGCUUAGAUAUGACAUAGAACACCAAUUGCGAAGGCAGCUCACUACGCAAUCAUUGACGCUGA